GACGAACGCUGGCGGCGUGCCUACUACAUGCAAGUCGACCGCAGUGGGGACGGGAGAGUAACCCGUGGGUAACCUCCCAUCAGAGGGGAUAACACUUGGAAACAGGUGCUAAACCGAUACUGAUGGAUGAACCCGCGGUGCAUUAGCUAGUUGGUGAGGUAACGGCUCACAAAGGCCACGAGGCAUCCCCGACCUGAGAGGGUGACCGGCCAGACGGGGACUGAGACACGGCCCAGACUCCGCCGGGAGGCAGCAGUAGGGAAUCUUCGGCAAUGGACGAAAGUCUGACCGAGCAACGCCGCGUGAGUGAAGAAGGUUUUCGGAUCGUAAAACUCUGUUGUUAGAGAAGCGGUAUCUAACCAGAAAGCCACGGCUAACUACGUGCCAGCAGCCGCGGUAAUAC
rnacentral:rRNA from 1 species